rnacentral:rRNA from 1 species
UACGGAGGGGGCAACCGUUGUUCGGAAUUACUGGGCGUAAAGGGCUCGUAGGCGGCCAACUAAGUCAGACGUGAAAUCCCUCGGCUUAACCGGGGAACUGCGUCUGAUACUGGAUGGCUGGAGGUUGGGAGAGGGAUGCGGAAUUCCAGGUGUAGCGGUGAAAUGCGCAGAUAUCUGGAGGAACACCGGUGGCGAAGGCGGCAUCCUGGACCGGUAUUGACGCUGAGGAGCGAAAGCUAGGGGAGCAAACGGG